UGGGGAAUAUUGGGCAAUGGGCGCAAGCCUGACCCAGCAACGCCGCGUGAAGGAAGAAGGUUUUCGGAUUGUAAACUUCUGUCGCGAGGGACGAAGAAUGACGGUACCUCGUAAGAAAGCCCCGGCUAACUACGUGCCAGCAGCCGCGGUAAUACGUAGGGGGCAAGCGUUGUCCGGAAUGACUGGGCGUAAAGGGAGUGUAGGCGGCAGCGCAAGUUAGAUGUGAAAUGCCUCGGCUUAACCGAGGAACUGCAUCUAAAACUGCGCAGCUGGAGUGCAGGAGAGGUGAGUGGAAUUCCGAGUGUAGCGGUGGAAUGCGUAGAUAUUCGGAGGAACACCAGAGGCGAAGGCGACUCACUGGACUGUAACUGACGCUGAGGCUCGAAAGCGUGGGGAGCAAACAGG
rnacentral:rRNA from 1 species